UGUAAACCCACAAUGGUGGACGGAUCGACCAGAUAGGACAUGGCAAGGUGUCCGGGCGGGAGCUCCGUUCCCAUCAGCCAGUGUAAACCCACAAUGGUGCACUGAUCGACCAGAUAGGACAUGGCAAGAUGUCAUGGCGGGAGCUCCGUUCCCAUCAGCCAGUGUAAACCCACAAUGGUGCACUGAUCGACCAGAUAGGACAUGGCAAGGUGUCCGGGCGGGAGCUCCGUUCCCAUCAGCCAGUGUAAACCCACAAUGGUGGACGGAUCGACAAGAUAGGACAUGGCAAGGUGUCAUGGCGGGAGCUCCGUUUCCAUCAGCCAGUGUCAACCCACAAUGGUGGACGGAUCGACCAGAUAGGACAUGGCAAGGUGUCAUGGCGGUAUCUCCGUUCCCAUCAGCCAGUGUGUGACGAAACGCCUUUUGUCACCGGAUUUUCCCCUGGCUGUUGGAGGAGCCUGAUUGCCAGCCUCUUGCCUCAUGACUAUGGCCCUGGGUUAU